CUCUCGGGGAGAGGUGGCCCAGCUCAGCCUGCUCAGGCCCCUCUGGCUUGGCAUUCUGGUUGAGACUGUUGAGCACAAUGAACUUGUAUUUCUUCCAGUUGCAGGCUUUGGGGUCAGUGGGACUCUUGGCUGGAGGGGAACCAGAGGCCUGAAGGAUACAGGCAUUCUUGCUGCUGCAGGACUCCGUGGUCCACAGACAAUCAGAAGAAGGUCAAUUAUUCCCAGCAGAUUCCAGUAGAAACCUCAAGCCAGGUACCAAGCUUUCGAGUGGAGACACCUGGUACUCAGCUGAAGAAGACCCUCACCUGCAGGCCAUAAGCACUGUCUUAUGCGCUCUAAACUGUUCACGGCCAACCACAAUGACAACAUCAGUCAAGAUGUCGCGGCUCCGGAGGCGAUUAAGGUUGAGAAGAACAUCACUGGCAUGGCGGGUGAACUGGAUACAGCUGUCAGCCGGUGAGGCCAUCUUGUCUUCACCUGAACAAAAGAAGUCAAAAUCCUAUUAGUCCUCAGGAACUGUCCUUACCAGGGGGACCAGGCAGGUAGCUUAGCCUGAUAAGGUAUGGCAGCAAUUCAGGUCACGUGUGUUUGAUUGUUGAAAAACUCAUAACCUAUCUCUGGGUAUUACUUUUCAGAGCUAUAAAAUAUAGGGAGCUCUGUUGGGGAAAGGGGAAGGGAAAGAUUCUGUGGAAUGUUUUUCCCACAUACUAAAUACUCUGCCAAGCA